rnacentral:rRNA from 1 species
GAUGAACGCUGGCGGCGUGCCUAAUACAUGCAAGUCGAGCGAACAGACGAGGAGCUUGCUCCUCUGACGUUAGCGGCGGACGGGUGAGUAACACGUGGAUAACCUACCUAUAAGACUGGGAUAACUUCGGGAAACCGGAGCUAAUACCGGAUAAUAUAUUGAACCGCAUGGUUCAAUAGUGAAAGACGGUUUUGCUGUCACUUAUAGAUGGAUCCGCGCCGCAUUAGCUAGUUGGUAAGGUAACGGCUUACCAAGGCAACGAUGCGUAGCCGACCUGAGAGGGUGAUCGGCCACACUGGAACUGAGACACGGUCCAGACUCCUACGGGAGGCAGCAGUAGGGACUCUUCCGCAAUGGGCGAAAGCUUGACGGAGCAACGCCGCGUGAGUGAUGAAGGUCUUCGGAUCGUAAAACUCUGUUAUUAGGGAAGAACAAAUGUGUAAGUACCUAUGCACGUCUUGACGGUACCUAAUCAGAAAGCCACGGCUAACUACGUG